rnacentral:rRNA from 1 species
CCCUUAGAUGUCCUGGGCCGCACGCGUGCUACACUGAUGCAUACAGCGAGUACUCCCAGCUCCGAGAGGCUGCUGGUAAUCAGCAAUAUGCAUCGUGAUGGGGAUAGAUCUUUGGAAUUAUGGAUCUUGAACGAGGAAUUCCUAGUAAUCGCAGGUCAUCACCCUGCGUUGACUAAGUCCCUGCCCUUUGUACACACCGCCCGUCGCUCCUACCGAUUUCGAGUGAUCCGGUGAAUCAUUCGGACCGCGGCCCCUAGGCAUGCGGAAAGUCUAGUAAACCAUAUCACUUAGAGGAAGGAGAAGUCGUAACA